UACGUAGGUGACCAGCGUUGUCCGGAUUUACUGGGCGUAAAGAGCGCGCAGGCGGUCGUUCAAGUCGAGUGUGAAAGCCCCCGGCUCAACUGGGGAGGGUCACUCGAUACUGAUCGACUCGAAGGCAGGAGAGGGUAGUGGAAUUCCCGGUGUAGUGGUGAAAUGCGUAGAUAUCGGGAGGAACACCAGUGGCGAAGGCGACUACCUGGACAAUUGCUGACGCUCAGGCACGAAAGCGUGGGGAGCAAAAGGG
rnacentral:rRNA from 1 species